UACGAAGGGGGCUAGCGUUGCUCGGAAUCACUGGGCGUAAAGGGUGCGUAGGCGGGUCUUUAAGUCAGGGGUGAAAUCCUGGAGCUCAACUCCAGAACUGCCUUUGAUACUGAGGAUCUUGAGUUCGGGAGAGGUGAGUGGAACUGCGAGUGUAGAGGUGAAAUUCGUAGAUAUUCGCAAGAACACCAGUGGCGAAGGCGGGACUCUGGGCCGAUACUGACGCUGAGGAGCGAAAGCGUGGGGAGCGAACAGG
rnacentral:rRNA from 1 species